GAUGAACGCUGGCGGCGUGCCUAAUACAUGCAAGUCGAGCGAACAGACGAGGAGCUUGCUCUUCUGACGUUAGCGGCGGACGGGUGAGUAACACGUGGAUAACCUACCUAUAAGACUGGGAUAACUUCGGGAAACCGGAGCUAAUACCGGAUAAUAUAUUGAACCGCAUGGUUCAAUAGUGAAAGACGGUUUUGCUGUCACUUAUAGAUGGAUCCGCGCCGCAUUAGCUAGUUGGUAAGGUAACGGCUUACCAAGGCAACGAUGCGUAGCCGACCUGAGAGGGUGAUCGGCCACACUGGAACUGAGACACGGUCCAGACUCCUACGGGAGGCAGCAGUAGGGAAUCUUCCGCAAUGGGCGAAAGCCUGACGGAGCAACGCCGCGUGAGUGAUGAAGGUCUUCGGAUCGUAAAACUCUGUUAUUAGGGAAGAACAAAUGUGUAAGUAACUAUGCACGUCUUGACGGUACCUAAUCAGAAAGCCACGGCUAACUACGUG
rnacentral:rRNA from 1 species